GGUUGAUGAAUAGAAAACACAGCACAUUGUUGUUUACAAAGGUAUCUACUCAGUAGCGUAAACCCGCUAGGCUGAAGCAGACAGACGUUUCAACAUUUAUUUGAUAAAACAAACAGCUAGACUUUUAUUGCCCUCGCCAAUAUGUCCAAACUACAGUUACUGAAUGUGUUCGUUACGGAGCGUUUGUCGGCUGCUGCUGUGGAGAUACUCGGGGCCGUAGAGAAGACUAUAGCAGAGUAUCGGGAAGAAAUCUUCCGUUCAGCAGAGGAGAACGAGCGUCUACGGAGGGAGAUGGACAUGAUUAUCAAAUCAGAGAUACAGUUAUACAGAACAGACUUCCAGCAACUCACUCCAUCUGUUCCCCCUGAGCAGCAGAAGUGUGAGCAGGAGUGGAGCCCCAGUCUGGGGCAGGAGGACCCAGAACCCACACAGAUUAAAGAGGAACAGCAGGAGUUCAGACUCAGUCAGGAGGACCCACCUCAGCCCUCACAUCUUUACCAAAAACAAACUGUGGAUGAUGGAGAGAGGAGCGCUCUACCUAUCAUCAUAACUGAAGACAUCAAAACAGAACCUGAUGGAGAGGGCUACAGAGUACCACAACCAACCAGUGAUCAGCCCCUCUCAGUUCAUCCAGACUGCUCUGCUACACUGGAAAAACCAUAUUGGUGUCAACAAUGUGGCAAAAGCUUCACACGUAAGGGAAACUUGACCUUGCAUUUAAAGAUACACACAGGAGAGAAACCUUUUCUGUGCAAACAAUGUGGCAAAAGGUUUAACCAGAAGAGCAACUUGACCAUCCACACAAGGGUACACACAGGAGAGAAUCCCUAUCAGUGCAAACAAUGUGGCAAAAGGUUUAACCAUAAGAGCAACUUGACCAGCCAUACAAGGAUACACACAGGAGAGAAUCUGUAUCAAUGGAAAGCUAUUUAAGACUUCAUCAGUGGGUUCACACGGGAGAAAUCUGACCAGUACAAAUAAUGUGGCAAAAGCUUUGGUUAUAAACAGCCAUACAUCACAUAUGAGCACUCACAUUAAAGGGCAUACAUUAUAUUACUGCAGUGAGUACAGCAAAAGCUUCAGCCUGAAGUGAAAGUGAAAACAACAAAUGAUACUUUGUAUCAUUGUGGAUUACUUCUCACAUCCAACUUGUAAAUUAAUGUUAUGUUCUGUUUUCUGGCACUUGACAACAAAACAAAUUGAGUUGUGAAAAUCAUCAGUCAGUAUUAGAUUUCUUAGCUGAAACUAGCUCUCACUUUCAGAGACCUACAGUGCAUUCGGAAAGUAUUCAGACCCUUGACUUUUUCAAUUUUGUUAUGUUACAGCCUUAUUCUAAAAUUGAUUAAAUAGUAUUUUUUUCUCUCAUCAAUCUACACACAAUACCCCAUAAUGACAAAGCAAAAACAGUUUUUUAGAAAUUUUAGCAAAUGGAUCUCUCUUUACUUUGCUCCGUUCAGCUUUGCCUCGAUCCUGACUAGUCUCCCGGUCCCUGCAACUGAAAAACAUCCCCACAGCAUUAUGCUGCCACCACCAUGCUACACCGUAGGGAUGGUGCCAGGUUUCCUCCAGAUGCGACGCUUGGUAUUCAGGUCAAAGAUUUCAAUCUUGGUUUCAUCAGACCAGAGAAUCUUGUUUCUAAUGGUCUGAGAGUCUUUUAGGUGCCUUUUGGAAAACUCCAAGCGGGCUGUCAUGUGCCUUUUGCUGAGGAGUGGCAUCCGUCUGGCCACUCUACCAUAAAAGCCUGAUUGGUGGAGUGCUGCAGAGAUGUUUGUCCUUCUGGAAGGUUCUCCCAUCUCCACAGAGUGACUCUGGAGCUCUGUCAGAGUGACCAUCAGGUUCUUGGUCUCCUCCCCCGAUUGUUCAGUUUGGCUGGGCAGCCAGCUCUAGAAAGAGUUUUGGUGGUUCCAAACUUCUUCCAUUUAAGAAUGAUGGAGGCUACUGUGUUGUUGAGGACCUUCAAUGCUGCAGAAAUGUUUUGCUACCCUUCCCCAGAUCUGUGACUCGACACAAUCCUGUCUCAAAGCUCUACAGACAAUUCCUUCAACCUCAUGGCUUGGUUUUAGUUCUGACAUGCACUGUCAACUGUGGGACCUUAUAUAGACAGGUGUGUGCCUUCCCAAAUCAUGUCCUUUCAAUUGAAUUGUAGAAGUUGUAGAAACAUCAAGGAUGAUCAAUGGAAACAGGAUGCACCUGAUAUCAAUUCCCAGUCUUAUAGCAAAGGGUCUGAAUACUUAUGCUAUUUUUAAUACAUUUGCAAACAUUUUCUGUACUGUUUUCGCUUUGUCAUUAUGGGGUAUUGUGUGUAGAUUGCUGAUCAUUUUUUAUUAUUUAAUCCAUUUUAGAAUAAGGCUGCAAUGUAACAAUGUGGAAAAAGUGAAGGAGGACACUGCUGGCUUCAGGAAGCCCUCACCAUAUAAUUUGAGGAAAAAUAUCUAUGUAUUUGUGUUUUUUGUUUUUAAUGCUUUGGUUGUUUUGUGCAAAGAUGAAAAAAUGAAAUGAAUUACAAAAAUAAACAUUUUCCCUUUCUUUUUCUACAACUAAAGAAAAAGGAAGUCCUCACCACUGUAUCUAGCACAGAGCACACAUUUGGAUUUCUAAACAAUAGGAGUUCUUAUUCAAUUGUUUAACAAUGACAUACAGGAUAUUUUGGCCACUAUCUUCUAUCUGUACCAACUAGAGGUCGACCGAUUAUGAUUUUCAAUGCCGAUACCGAUUAUUGGAGGACCAAAAAAGCAGAUACCGAUUAAUCGGACGAUUUUUUAAAAAAAUAAAAAAUUUAAAAAAAGUUUUUAUUGAUUUGUAAUAAUGACAAUUACAACAAUACUGAAUGAACACUUAUUUUAACUUAAUAUAAUACAUCAAUAAAAUCAAUUUAGCCUCAAGUAAAUAAUGAAACAUGUUCAAUUUGGUUUAAAUAAUGCAAAAACAAAGUGUUGGAGAAGAAAGUAAAAGUGCAAUAUGUGCUAUGUAAGAAAGCUAAUGUUUCAGUUCCUUGCUCAGAACAUGAGAACAUAUGAAAGCUGGUGGUUCCUUUUAACAUGAGUCUUCAAUAUUCCCAGGUAAGAAGUUUUAGGUUGUAGUUAUUAUAGGAAUUAUAGGACUAUUUCCCUCUAUAACAUUUGUAUUUCAUUAACCUUUGACUAUUGGAUGUUAUUAUAGGCACUUUAGUAUUGCCAGUGUAACAGUAUAGCUUCCGUCCCUCUCCUUGCUCCUCCCUGGGCUCGAACCAGCAACACAACGACAACAGCCACCAUCGAAGCAGCGUUACCCAUGCAGAGCAAGGGGAACAACUACUAGCAGGCUCAGAGUGAGUGACGUUUGAAACGCUAUUAGCGAGCGCUAACUAGCUAGCCAUUUCACUUCGGUUACACCAACCUCAUCUCGGGAGUUGAUAGGCUUGAAGUCAUAAACAGCACAAUGCUUGACGCACAACGAAGAGCUGCUGGCAAAACGCACGAAAGUGCUGUUUGAAUGAAUGUUUUACGUGCCUGCUUCUGCCUACCACCGCUCAGUCAGAUACUUAGAUACUUGUAUGCUUGUAUGCUCAGUCAGAUUAUAUGCAAUGCAGGACAUGCUAGAUAAUAUCUAGUAAUAUCAUCAACCAUGUGUAGUUAACUAGUGAUUAUGAUUGAUAGUUUUUUCUAAGAUAAGUUUAAUGCUAGCUAGCAACUUACCUUGGCUUACUGCAUUCGCGUAACAGGUCUCCUUGUGGAGUGCAACGAGAGAGAGGCAGGUCUAUAUUGCGUUGGACUAGUUAACUGUAAGGUUGCAAGAUUGGAUCCCCUGAGCUGACAAGGUGAAAAUAUGUCGUUCUGCCCCUGAAUAAGGCAGUUAACCCAUCGUUCCUAGGCCGUCAUUGAAAAUAAGAAUGAAUUAACUGACUUGCCUAGUUAAAUAAACAUAUAUUUUUUUUAAAUACCGAUUUCCGAUUGUUAUGAAAACUUGAAAUCGGAUGUUAGAAUAUUGAAGUAGCCUAUCACAUCUGCGUUGACAAUUAAUAAUGCAGCAAAUAAUUUGUUUUAAUAAAGUAGUUUUUUCAAUGGAUGUCAUAGUGAAAAGCUCUUUCUCUGUUGAACAUGAUUUCUGUGAUGGUUCAUAUUAGGCAGGUUUAAUACAUCCUCUAUCAGCUCUAUUUCUUGCCUCUUACCCCCAACCGUUUUCAUAAAGCGUCUGAGAUGAGGGCUGAUCUAGGAUCAGUUCGCCCCUGCCCAUUCAUUAUAAUUUACAUAAAGCAUCUCAAAUUAUUGCUAUUCUAGGAUCAGAUUGCCCCUCUACAUUCAUUAUAAUUGAAGAAGCAAAACUAGAUCAGCACUCCCACUCAGACGCUUUGGAUCCGAUUUAGAAAACUAUGCCUUUUAUACGCCCUUCUCAGUAGUUGGUAUUCAGACUUACCAUAUGAAGGUGCAUAAUGGGCUUUGCAGGCGUGAUUCUUUUGUGUGCGCUGAAUAAAUGUAAUUCAACCACUGAAAA